rnacentral:rRNA from 1 species
AACACAUAGCAAGUCGAGCGGAUUGAAGGGAGCUUGCUCCUGGAUUCAGCGGCGGACGGGUGAGUAAUGCCUAGGAAUCUGCCUGGUAGUGGGGGAUAACGUCCGGAAACGGGCGCUAAUACCGCAUACGUCCUGAGGGAGAAAGUGGGGGAUCUUCGGACCUCACGCUAUCAGAUGAGCCUAGGUCGGAUUAGCUAGUUGGUGGGGUAAAGGCCUACCAAGGCGACGAUCCGUAACUGGUCUGAGAGGAUGAUCAGUCACACUGGAACUGAGACACGGUCCAGACUCCUACGGGAGGCAGCAGUGGGGAAUAUUGGACAAUGGGCGAAAGCCUGAUCCAGCCAUGCCGCGUGUGUGAAGAAGGUCUUCGGAUUGUAAAGCACUUUAAGUUGGGAGGAAGGGCAGUAAGUUAAUACCUUGCUGUUUUGACGUUACCAACAGAAUAAGCACCGGCUAACUUCGUGCCAGCAGCCGCGGUAAUACGAAGGGUGCAAGCGUUAAUCGGAAUUACUGGGCGUAAAGCGCGCGUAGGUGGUUCAGCAAGUUGGAUGUGAAAUCCCCGGGCUCAACCUGGGAACUGCAUCCAAAACUACUGAGCUAGAGUACGGUAGAGGGUGGUGGAAUUCCNGUGUAGCGGUGAAAUGCGUAAAUAUAGGAAGGANCACCGUGGCGAAGGCGAACACCUGGACUGAUACUGACACUGAGGUGCGAAAGCGUGG